rfam:Gossypium arboreum cultivar AKA8401 contig_42571_5, whole genome shotgun sequence.
GAGCCCUUAGCGAGUUCUAUCGGGUAAAGCCAAUGAUUAGAGGCAUCGGGGGCGCAAUGCCCUCGACCUAUUCUCAAACUUUAUAUAGGUAGGACGGUGCGGCUGCUUCGUUGAGCCGGGUCACGGAAUCGAGAGCUCCAAGUGGGCCAUUUUUGGUAAGUAGAAUUGGUGAUGCAGGAUGAACCGAAAGCUGGGUUACGGUGCCUAACUGCGCGCUAACCUAUAACCCACAAAGGAUGUUGGUCGAUUAAGACAGCAGGACGGUGGUCAUGGAAGUCGAAAAUUCGCUAAAGAGUGUGUAACAACUUACCUGCCAAAUCAGCUACCCUUGAAAAUGGAUGGCGCUUAAGCGCGCGACCUAUACCUGGCUGUCAGGGCAAGAGCCAGACCCCGAAGAGUAGGAGGGCGCGGCGGUCUCUGCAAAACCCGGAGCGCGAGCUCGGGCAGAGUGGCCGUCGGUGUAGAUCUUGGUGGUAGUAGCAAAUAUUCAAAUGAGAACUUUGAAGGCCGAAGAGGAGAAAGGCUCCAUGUGAACGCCACUUGCACAUGGGUUAGUCGAUCCUAAGAGACGGGGGAAGCCCGUCCGAUAGCGCGUUCAGCGCGAGCUUCGAAAGUGAAUUUGGUUAAAAUUCCUGAACCGGGACGCGUCGGCUUACGGCAACGUUAGGGAGUCCAGAGACGUCGGCGGGGGCCUCGGGAAGAGUUAUCUUUUCUGUUUAACGGCCUGCCCACCUUGGAAACGGCUCAGCCGGAGGUAGGGUCCAGCGGUCGGAAGAGCACCGCACCUCACGUGGUGUCCGGUACGCCCCCAGCAGCCCUUGAAAAUCUGUAGGACUGAGUGUCGUCUGCGCCUGGUCGUACUCAUAGCCGCAUCAGGUCUCCAAGGUGAACAACCUCUGGUCAAUGGAAUAAUGUAGGCAAGGGAAGUCAGCAAAAUGGAUCCGUAACCUCGGGAAAAGGAUUAGCUCUGAGGGCUGGGCACAGGGGUGCCAGUCCCGAACCCGUCAGCUGCCGGUGCACUGCUCGAACUGCUUCCGUGGCCAGAGCGGGUCGCCGAGUGCCGGCCGGGGGAUGGACUGGGAACGGCUCCUUCGGGGGCCUUCUCUGGGCGACGAACAGUCGACUCAGAAAUGGUACGGACAUGGGGAAUCUGACUGUUUAAUUAAAACAAAGCAUUGCGAUGGUCCCUGCGGAUGCUCACGCAAUGUGAUUUCUGCUCAUUAAUUGAAUGUAUUAGAACAUGAAAUAAAUGAAAAUGACGAUCAAAUUUAUUUAUAAAGAUCCGGAUGACUUGAAUACAAGACUUGAACGUAGAAAAGAAAAGAUAUCGGAUUAAUGAAAUUAUAAACAUGAAUAAGCAACGAGGUAAGUUAGUGUAACUUGAAUUUUAUUUUUAAAUGCAUGAAAUAUCGAUAUAAUGAAUUACAUGAUUUAUGUUUAUGAAGAAAUGGCAAGAGAAUGAUAUUUAUCAUGGCAUGUAAAUAUGUGAUUAUCUUUGAUACGUUGAUAUAAGGAAAUGAAGUAUAUUAAGACGAGUAAUAAAUUCAAGUAAAACAUGUUGAGAAAAAUAAGUACUUUUAAGGGACAAUAUGUUGAUUUUAAUUGGUUCUA